rnacentral:tRNA from 3 species
GGGUUGUUAGCUCAAUCGGUAGAGCAGUUGACUUUUAAUCAAUUGGUUCGGGGUUCAAGUCCCCGACAGCCUACCA